CCUUUUUGCUUGGUGUUGCUUCUGUAACAGAUUCUCUUCUGGAAAACAAACACAUUUCUACUAAAUGCAAUCCAAAGGAACCUCUUAACAAAAACAUUACCAGCUGUCUCACAUACCUCUCUCCACUGGGUCCUGUGGCAGACAAGUAGACAAUCACCUGCAGAUGGGUUAAUUAUCCUAUGAGAUACAGAAAAUCUAGGACACCUGACAACAUAUAGAGAGUGUGGACUACCUACUUGACUGCAGCUUCAUGCCAUUUGUCAGACAAAAGCAGACAGUGCUGUGCAUAGCACCCAGCAUUGGGAACUAGAAACAGACUGUGACCUUAAGGUCACAAAGGAUUUGCUGUUGAGAGAAAAGCAUAUGGCAAUCCCUGCUGAAGAAGGGAAGCUGUGGCCCAGAGCAUUGUAUCACUGAGUAGCCAAGUUGGGAAGCACACCUGCAUCAGUCCUGUUUGUGGACAAACUUGUCACUUCCCUGCAAGUACGACAGAUGCCCAUACCAAAGCAAUUACUGUAUGGGAGAUGCUGACUGGCUGGAAGAACCUGUUCAUUCUGGAUCUGUAAUGGAGUCUGCAAGGAGCUCAGCUUCCUGGUGUGGAAGAAGAGCCCACUGUACAGUGCAAAAGAGCUGCAGGACAUGGACGUUGGGACUUCACAUGCAAAAGAGCUCUUGCACAAGCCAAGA
rnacentral:lncRNA from 1 species